rnacentral:rRNA from 1 species
UACGAAGGGGGCUAGCGUUGUUCGGAAUUACUGGGCGUAAAGGGCUCGUAGGCGGCCAACUAAGUCAUACGUGAAAUCCCUCGGCUUAACCGGGGAACUGCGUCUGAUACUGGAUGGCUUGAGUUCGGGAGAGGGAUGCGGAAUUCCAGGUGUAGCGGUGAAAUGCGUAGAUAUCUGGAGGAACACCGGUGGCGAAGGCAGUGUCCUGGCGAGUGACUGACGCUGAGGCACGAAGGCCAGGGGAGCAAACGGG